rnacentral:rRNA from 1 species
AGAGUUUGAUCCUGGCUCAGGAUUAACGCUGGCGGCGUGCCUAAUACAUGCAAGUCGAACGGAAGUACCUUCGGGUACUUUAGUGGCGAACGGGUGAGUAAUACAUAGGUAACCUACCCUUAAGACGAGGAUAGCCAUUGGAAACGAUGGAUAAAACUGGAUAGGAUAUAGAGGAAGAAUCUUUUAUAUUUAAAAGAGAGAUCUGCUUAAGGAGGGGCCUGUGGCGCAUUAGCUAGUUGGUGGGGUAAGGGCCUACCAAGGCGAUGAUGCGUAGCCGGACUGAGAGGUUGAACGGCCACAAUGGAACUGAGAACGGUCCAUACUCCUACGGGAGGCAGCAGUAGGGAAUUUUCGGCAAUGGGGGGAACCCUGACCGAGCAACGCCGCGCGAACGAAGAAGUUAUUCGUAAUGUAAAGUUCUUUUAUCAGGGAAGAAAGAGGAAUUUGACGGUACCUGAGGAAUAAGCUCCGGCUAACUACGUG